rnacentral:rRNA from 1 species
UAACCUGCUAAAUAGACCAGCCGGCUUUGGCUGGCUGCUGUCUUCUUAGAGGGACUAUCAGCGUUUAGCUGAUGGAAGUUUGAGGCAAUAACAGGUCUGUGAUGCCCUUAGAUGUUCUGGGCCGCACGCGCGCUACACUGACAGAGCCAGCGAGUAAUAACCUUUGCCGGAAGGCAUGGGUAAUCUUGUGAAACUCUGUCGUGAUGGGGAUAGAACAUUGCAAUUAUUGUUCUUCAACGAGGAAUACCUAGUAAGCGUGAUUCAUCAGAUCGCGUUGAUUACGUCCCUGCCCUUUGUACACACCGCCCGUCGCU